rnacentral:rRNA from 1 species
UACGGGGGGAGCAAACGUUGUUCGGAAUCACUGGGCGUAAAGGGCGUGUAGGCGGCUGGAUAAGUGGGAUGUUAAAUCCCCCGGCUCAACCGGGGACCUGCAUCUCAUACUGUUCAGCUCGAGCACAUCAGAGGAGACUGGAAUUCCCGGUGUAGCGGUGGAAUGCGCAGAUAUCAGGAGGAACACCGAUUGCGAAGGCAGCUCGCUGGGACGUAACUGACGCUGAGACGCGAAAGCGUGGGGAGCAAACGGG